rnacentral:snRNA from 1 species
GUCACUUCUUGGCCUUUUGCCUAAGAUCAAGUGUAGUACCUGUUCUUACCAGUUUAAUAUUUUUAUCACCCAAACAGUGUACAAUAACAAGGCCAAACCCUUA